CACAUCUUUGCAAUAGUUUUAAAGAAAAAAAAAACUUUGUUUGCUGCCAUUAAUUUGAAGUUAUUAUUGGAGCCUUCCAUAAUUGUUGAAGCUUUAUAAUCUGCUAAAAUCUUCAAAAUUCUCACGAUCUGUACAGCUACAAAUUAAAAGCAUACAUGGCUAAUGAUGAGGAUUGGUUUCCAUUUACGGAUAAUGCCGGCAUUGUAAUUUCUUACCUUAAAGCUUAUGUAGUGGGAGAAAAUGAUAAGUGUUUAGGUGAAAAUUGUCCCGUAUGCUUAGAAGAAUUUAAAAUAGGCACAAAUGGUGCAAAAAUGCCCACAUGUAUGCAUUUAUUUCAUGUAGAUUGUAUUGCUAAUUGGCUUCGUAGGAAUCCAACUUGUCCUGUUUGUAGGUCUCAUUUAUUUUAUUUAAUUUGGUUGUAACUUGUAACAAUUAAUAUUACUUAUUUAGAUGAAAGUUAUUUGGUUAAA